GGGGGUGAAGCCAAAGGUGCUGGGAAUAAAUAAGGUCCAAUCAAGACUCUUGUUACCAACGAAGUGUAGGCAACGUCACAAUUCAGGAAGGGAAACAUCUCGGAGGCGCACGCGUGGAAAUCAUUGGAGCAAGAACCAGAGAGGUGGGAAAUUUUGUUGAGAUGCCUUGUAAUGGAUGUUUCUUAAUAUUAUUCUCUCUGACAUGGAGACAGAAGAUAAGCAGAAAGGGAAGGGAUUAU